GCUCUGUGGUCGAACUGUCUCCGGAUGGAGCGCGUGCCUGCUUCUGGCAGGAUAGACCACAGAGCUAUU
rnacentral:ncRNA from 1 species